ACGGAAUAGAUACCCCGGGUAGUCCCAGCUGUAAACGAUGCAGACUAGGUGUUUGGACGGCCACGUGCCGUUCUAGUGCCGCAGGGAAGCUGUUAAGUCUGCCGCCUGGGGAGUACGAUCGCAAGAUUGAAACUUAAAGGAAUUGGCGGGGGAGCACCACAAGGGGUGAAGCUUGCGGUUUAAUUGGAGUCAACGCCGGAAAUCUCACCGGGAGCGACAGCAGUAUGAAAGCCAGAUUGAAGGUCUUGCUAGACGAGCUGAGAGGAGGUGCAUGGCCGUCGCCAGUUCGUGCCGUGAGGUGUCCUGUUAAGUCAGGCAACGAUCGAGACCCGCGUCCUCUGUUGCAGCCAGCUUUGUGCUGGGCACACUGAGGAGACCGCCACUGAUAAACGUGGAGGAAGGAGCGGGCCACGGCAGGUCAGUAUGCCCCGGAAUCUCCCGGGGUCCACACGCGAGCUGCAAUGGCAAGUACAAUGGGUUCCGACCUCGAAAGGGGGUAGGCAAUCUCGAAACGCUUGCCGUAGUUGGAAUU
rnacentral:rRNA from 1 species